GGUCAAUUGAGGGGGGGGGUGCAGAAUUUCGGAGCGGUUUCCGGUGUUGAUUUUGGGGCAAAAAGUGGGGAAUGUGGGGAAGAAUGGGGUCCAGUUGCCUAGCAACGGGUGGGAGGGAAACGCGAGGCCGUCUCCAUGGCUCCACCGGAAACGAAGACGGUGUAACCGAAGUCGGAUGGUCGAACCGCGGGGACGGUCGCGCGGCAAUAGCGGCCCGCUCCGACCGGAACCCGGAAGAGAAACACCGGAAGUCGGACAAACCAGAAGUAAGGGGCCGGAAGUGGGCGGUGCCUCCCUCCCAUUGGCCCGCGGAGGCGGAAGCGGGCGCGGCGGUGCGCGCGCAUCUCCAAGGCAACGGCCGGGGGCUCUCGGCCGCCGUCGGAGCCCCGGGCGUCGCCAUGGAAACGCGGCCCAUAGCGACGGGGCCCCCGCGGCCCCCGCCCCGCCCCAAGAUGGCCGCCGCAGGGCGGGGGCGGCGCUGUGCAGGCGCGGGGGGCGGCGGCUCGGGGGCGGCGGAGGGCGACGGGAGGCCGCCGGAGGUCAGUGCGGGGCCGGCGGGGGUCGCGGCGACGUCACGUGACGGCGGGGGGCGACGUCCGCCGGUUUGGGGGCGGUUGACCCCCAUUUGGGGUCGACGGAGGCCGACUUGGGGUCAGUGGGGGUCAGCGUGGGGUCACGUGGGGAUGGGGGGUCGACGUCUGGCAGCGUGGGGUCAGCGUUGGCCAAUCAGGAGGCAGAACACAGCCGGGGGUCGGCGGCGGCCAUCUUGGGGUCAAAGGGCACCGCUGUGGGGUCGCUGUCGGCCAAUGAAGGCCCAGCAGCCUCCAAGGUGGGACCGGAAGUGGGCGCGGCGGCCAUCUUGGUGCCUGAGCCAGCCAAUGGGAGCGCUGCGGGGUCAACUUCCGCCAUCUCGCGGGCGAAGUCAACCAAUGAGAGUGCUGAGAAGUCGGCGUCGGCCAUCUUGGUGCGUGAAUCAGCCAAUGGGAGCGCGGCGAGGUCGACGUUGGCCAUCUUGUUGGCAAGGUCAGCCAAUGAGAGCGCAGCGAGGUCAACGCCCACCAGUUUGGGGUCAAAGGUGACGACCACCACCCCAAUGACGGCCAGCUUGGAUCCGACAUCCGCCAUCUUAGGGUCAAAGGUCAUGACAUCUACUCCAACGUCGGCCAUCUUGGGGUCAAAGGUGACGACCCCCAACCGCCCAUCAGCCAUCUUGGAUCCAACGUCAGCCAUCUUGGGGUCAAAGGUGACGACCCCACCCCCAACAUCCGCCAUUUUGGACUCCGAGACCCCCACCCCAACAUCAACCACUGUAGGGUCAAAGGUGACGACCCCUACCCCCCCCUCGGCCAUCUUGGGGUCAAAGGUGAUGACUCCCACCCCCCCAUCGGCCAUCUUGGACUCCGAAACCCCAACGUCGGCCAUCUUGGGGUCAAAGGAGACGACCCCCACCCCCCCGUCGGCCAUCUUGGACUCCGAGACCCCAACGUCAGCCAUCUUGGGGUCAACAGAGACGACCCCCACCCCAACGUCGGCCAUCUUGGAUCCAACAUCGGCCAUCUUGAACUCCGAGACCUCCACCCCAACAUCGAUGACUUUGGGGUCAAUGGAGACGAUCCCCACCCCAACGUUGGCCAUCUUGCACUCUGAGACCCCACCGUUGGCCAUCUUGGCCCCAACCCUGUCAGCCAUCUUGGCCCCAACUACCCCCACCCGACCGUCAGCCAUCUUGGAUCCAGUCCCAUCCACUCCAACAUCCGCCAUCUUGGACUCAGUGACCCCCACCCCAUCAACAACCACUGUGGGGUCAACAGAGAUGACCCCCACCCCAACAUCGAUGACUUCGGGGUCAAAGGUCAUGACCCCCACCCCCCCGUCAGCCAUCUUGGACUCCGAGACCCCAACGUCCGCCAUCUUGGGGCCAAAGGAGACGACCCCCACCCCAAUGUUGGCCAUCUUGGACUCCAAGACCCCAACGUCGGCCAUCUUGGGGUCAACAGAGACGACCCCCACCCCGAUGUCGGCCAUCUUGGACUCUGAGACCCCAACAUCGGCCAUCUUGGGGUCAAAGGAGACGACCCCCACCCCAACGUCGGCCAUCUUGGACUCCGAGACCCCCACCCCAACAUCGACGACUUUGGGGUCAAAGGAGACGACCCCCACCCUGAUGUCGGCCAUCUUGGACUCUGAGACCACAACGUCGGCCAUCUUGAGGUCAACAGAGACAACCCC
rnacentral:lncRNA from 1 species